UGAAAGAUUCAUGAGUGCGAAGGGUAGAGUUAAGUUGGGACUAGAGUUGAGAUUACCAUUAGAGCUUCAUUGUUAUACUCUGGGUAGAUGGGAUCUUAUCUCUAUAUGCAUAACUUGGGACUUACCUUUAGCAUUCUACUAAAGCUCAAUCAUUCUUGAGAGAUCCCCUGGUACUUAAGCCUAUUCUGUAAGGGACCAUCUUUGUCUCUUGACCUUCACCUUAGCCAAAUGAGUUCAUUGACGAUGCAUUGCUUGAUUCACGUUCCAGAACUAAUGAAUGUUAAAGGGAUUGGUAGAUUUGAAAGCAUGUGUAGGUCGAGUAUAAGAGACAGAUUGAUUGAUAACAAGGUAUGGCUAACGUUUUUGAGUAAAAUUCA
rnacentral:sRNA from 1 species